AUUGAACGCUGGCGGCAUGCUUUACACAUGCAAGUCGAACGGCGGCGCGGGCUUCGUCCUGGCGGCGAGUGGCGAACGGGUGAGUAAUACAUCGGAACGUGCCCAGUAGUGGGGGAUAGCUCGGCGAAAGCCGGAUUAAUACCGCAUACGACCUGAGGGUGAAAGCGGGGGAUCUUCGGACCUCGCGCUAUUGGAGCGGCCGAUGGCAGAUUAGCUAGUUGGUGGGGUAAAGGCCUACCAAGGCGACGAUCUGUAGCUGGUCUGAGAGGACGACCAGCCACACUGGAACUGAGACACGGCCCAGACUCCUACGGGAGGCAGCAGUGGGGAAUUUUGGACAAUGGGCGAAAGCCUGAUCCAGCAAUGCCGCGUGUGUGAUGAAGGCCUUCGGGUUGUAAAGCACUUUUGGCGGGAACGAAAAGGACUGUGCCAAUACCACGGUUCGAUGACGGUACCCGCAGAAUAAGCACCGGCUAACUACGUG
rnacentral:rRNA from 1 species